rnacentral:lncRNA from 1 species
AGCAAUUUCUUCCUUUAUUUUUAAUUUGAUUCCAGAAAUUAUAAUAGUGCAAACACUUAGUAUAAAAGUUGCAAUAAGAAAUUUACAUUCACAUUUAACAUUUCAGUCCAUUCACUUUUUAACAUAAAAAUAGGACAAAUAUUCAAUUGCUCUUCUCAGUUUAACAAUCCUGAAAAAGACUGGAAGAUACUCUACAAUAAUAUAUUUACAUAAAAAUAGACCCGUAUUAUUAAUGAAAAUUUAUCAUUAGAAGUUACCCAGUGUUAAGUUAUUGUAUUUUAAUAUUUUUAUACAUAUAUAUAUAUAUAUAGUGUAUAGCUAUAAAGAUAAAAAGAUUAUUUAUAUGUUCAGUGGGCUAUAGAAGUUGGAAUAAUGACAUCUUGACUUACUUGUUCACUCCUUAAAAUUAGGACUACCCAUUUUACCUAUGUAGAUGUUUCUUUUGUGAUACUGUAGGUCUCCUCCUGAUCCUUUUGAAGUCACUGGUCACGCCCCAUCUGACAUGGCAGAGGAAUAGACACUAGAAUAAAGUUUAAUCUAAAAAUUCAAUAAUUGUUGAGGUUAAUAUUUUCAUUAAUUUUACUGGGCUGUAAAUGAGACUAAAAGUUCUACUGAAAACUUUUCUAACAAUAAAUACAGAUAAGAAUACAUUGGUUUUCCCAUGUCUACCUGAUGCAAAUAAUGCUUUUUUCCACAAAGUCUAAGCAAAUAUUCAAGUUGGUCCAGAAGCGAUGCCAAAUUUGCUGCAAACAUCUGCAGAUUAAGUAGAUUAAGAUUCCUCUUGCACAGUCUUCUUAUUGAAUGUUCCAAUUCAAUCAGCCUUAUAAUACUCCAAACCUGUAUCUCUUCCCUCUAAUAUUUUAGUAAAGAAUGGUAUCCAGACACAGACAACAUGACUGCUCUUGAAAUGAGUUUGCAUGUUCUUGUUAAACUACUAGGGAACAUAAAUUAGGCUUCACCACUCUUUCUUAUCUGUGUCUCUUCCUCAGGCCCUUGAGCAGAGAUGCUGCUCUGCUUGCUGAUUGAAGUCAGAAGGCAGAUUGAAGUCUUAUUGCCCAGCUUGCUGCCACCUGCUGGUGCCUGCACUCCCACCACAGGGUAUGUUUAUAUACCCUUUCAGGUUUGUUGUCACAUGUACUGCUUCCUAUUUUUUCCCCCUAAACAUCUAUUAUCUAUAAAAAAUCAACUUUCUGAAAAUAUAUUUUCUUUUUGAAAAAGAAGUUUGACAACCAUGUGACAGAGGACCUACAGAGGGAGAUGGUAAAGCUGGCCUGAGUAUGCAGCAAACACCUCAACAAAAAUAAUAUGGCAUUGAACAACUGAGGGUGAGUUAAGGGUAGAAGGGGUACCAAUUUCUGAAGAGGCACUAUUUUAUGAGUUGUAGGUCAUACUUUACAUGCAAAGAAGAAUUAUGUGGUGUUAAGAGUCAGGCAGGUAUGUCUGGCUUCAUCUCCUCUUGUUGCUAUGAUAUUUAUUACAUUUAAAUAUUUCUAGGAUGCUUAAAAUGAUGGAUAAGCCUAUAAUGGAUUCUGUCAUCAUGUGUAGGCAGACUAAUUUUGUUUAUAGAACACAAGCUCUGUGUAGUCUUUUGCUUCCUACAUUUGGCUGCUGAAAAUUGUAAAACAUUUUUACAUUUUUUCAAUUAACAGAUUGGAAAAAUGCUGAGCAUCUUAUUUCCAAGCAGAACCUAUGUACAUAUGCCAGCAGGGCAGAAGUUAACCUCCAGACAGCAGAGAGUACAAGGACUUAGCAGCAGGAUACAAUUCAGACAGAUGUUACUUGCAACACAAGUUGUAAAGAUAGGGAUUUUAAGAGAUGGGUCAAAUUUGACUGAAUCUGCUUGAAACUGUGAAAUGUGUGUCAGAAUUUAAUCUCUGUGAGAAUUUCAAAGGAAAUAAUAUCACUGUU